CGUAGGUAACCUGCCCCGGAGCGGGGGAUAACAUUUGGAAACAGAUGCUAAUACCGCAUAACAACAAAAGCCACAUGGCUUUUGUUUGAAAGAUGGCUUUGGCUAUCACUCUGGGAUGGACCUGCGGUGCAUUAGCUAGUUGGUAAGGUAACGGCUUACCAAGGCGAUGAUGCAUAGCCGAGUUGAGAGACUGAUCGGCCACAAUGGAACUGAGACACGGUCCAUACUCCUACGGGAGGCAGCAG
rnacentral:rRNA from 1 species